rnacentral:misc_RNA from 1 species
GGAGAUAAAAGAAUUAAGUUCACGCUUCCCCCUAUUGUGUUUGCUGCAUACAGACUAGCAAUGAGAUACAAAGAAGCCAAAGAAGAGGAUGAAAACUGGGAGAAGAAAUGCCAGAAGAUAUUCCAGUUCUGCCAUCAGACGGUAGGAGCUUUGAUCAAGGCCGACAUGGCAGAGAUGCCACUUCGACUUUUCCUGCAGGGAGCAUUGACGGCUGGAGAAAUCGAAUUUGAAAACCAUGAAACUGUAGCCUACGAAUUCAUGUCACAGGCAUUUUCACUCUACGAAGAUGAGAUCAGUGAUAGCAAAGCCCAGCUUGCAGCCAUUACGCUUAUUAUCGGCACGCUUGAACAAAUGAGUUGCUUUGGAGAUGAGAACCACGAACCUCUUCGAACUCAGUGUGCCCUGGCUGCCUCCAAACUCCUCAAGAAACCAGACCAAUGUCGAGGAGUCUGCACAUGCUCACAUCUCUUCUGGUCAGGAAGGUCCGCAUCACAGGAAGGGGAGCUCCAGGAUAGUAAACGAGUGUCCGACUGCUUGAAGAAGGGAGUGAAGAUAGCUAACCAGUGUAUGGACAGUUCAGUACAAGUGCAGUUAUUUGUGGAACUUCUCAAUCACUAUAUAUACUACUAUGAGAAAGGCAACGAUCAGGUUACGAUUCAAGUCCUCAACCAACUGAUAGCUAAAAUAAAAGAGACUUUGCCUAAUUUGGAAGCAAAUGAAGAAACGGAACAGAUCAACAAGCAUUUUCAGAAUACCGUCGAACAUUUAAAACUACGAAGAGACGGUAGUGAAACUGAGGGACCUUCAUAUGAGGAACUUGUGCUUUAACUUCAGUAUCGGCUGCAUUCUGCUUUUUGUUUUCAUUCUUACUAAUAUAAUUCAUAAAAAAGGGAUAUUUACAAACUGACACUUCAGUGAAGAAAUAGAAAACAGUAUUUGCAAUUGUUAUGUUGUCUACUGACCUUCUGUUUGCAUUUCUGGUAUUGUAGAGUAGAAUUUUAUGCCCACCUGUUAUUUAAAAGAAGAGUUAUUUAAUAAUUUUGAAGCAAAAGAUCCAAAGCCUAUACAUGUAUGUAAUAUCUGACAUGUAUUGGAGAAGUGGUCAUUUAUUUAGGAAAUUUGAGCAGAUUUUUAACAGGCUUAGGAUCUUCAUUAGUGAUGUGUAAUUUGAAAUGUUCUGCAAGUAUGUGUACUUGUACGGCAAACCUUUUUCUCAGUUUUAUCUAUGUACAAUGCAUAUAAAACUUUAAAAAGAGCUUAAUAUUAAUGUAAUAAAAUAUAUAAUAAUUGUAGAUAUAUAGAUUAUAAAGGUUAUUAACAUGUGCAUAAUGUUCUUGUUUUCACUUGUUGUAAGCCAUGAUGUUGUCCUGUACUGUCUAUAAUGUAUUAAAAAUAUGUUGUUUAUAAAAUAAUGUGUCUAAAACAUUAAAAAAUGCAAAGUUUUCAAACAAC